CCUACGGGUGGCUGCAGUGGGGAAUCUUGCGCAAUGGGCGAAAGCCUGACGCAGCGACGCCGCGUGAGGGAUGAAGGUCUUCGGAUCGUAAACCUCUGUCAGCAGGGAAGAACGGUCACUGUGCUAAUCAGCAGUGAAUUGACGGUACCUGCAAAGGAAGCACCGGCUAACUCCGUGCCAGCAGCCGCGGUAAUACGGAGGGUGCGAGCGUUAAUCGGAAUUACUGGGCGUAAAGCGCUCGGAGGCGGUAUGGAAAGUCCGCGGUCAAAGCCCGGGGCUCAACCCCGGCCCGCCGUUGAAACUGGCAGUCUCGAGUUGGAGAGAGGUAUGCGGAAUGCGCGGUGUAGCGGUGAAAUGCGUAGAUAUCGCGCAGAACUCCGAUUGCGAAGGCAGCAUGCCGGCUCCACACUGACGCUGAGGCACGAAAGCGUGGGUAUCGAACAGGAUUAGAUACCCUUGUAGUC
rnacentral:rRNA from 1 species